rnacentral:snRNA from 1 species
AACAAUGUACAGAGUCUAACCCUUUCAAUAGUGAGGCUUCGGCCGAGUUUGCUUCCAUUGCUAGUUGAAAACUUUUUCGACCAACUCUUGUUGGCUUUCGGGUCGGCAAGGAAUUUUUGCAAGAUUUCCAC